CCACUGCUGAAGAGUCCCAUACUAGGGCGAAACGGCCGUACAGUGC
rfam:Schistosoma curassoni strain Dakar, Senegal genome assembly, scaffold: SCTD_scaffold0002953